rnacentral:rRNA from 1 species
UGGGGAAUCUUGCGCAAUGGGCGAAAGCCUGACGCAGCGACGCCGCGUGAGGGAGGAAGGCCUUCGGGUUGUAAACCUCUUUCAGGAGGGACGAAGCUACUCGGGUGAAUAGCCCAGAGGGUGACGGUACCUCCAGAAGAAGCCCCGGCUAACUACGUGCCAGCAGCCGCGGUAAUACGUAGGGGGCAAGCGUUGUCCGGAUUUACUGGGCGUAAAGCGCGUGUAGGCGGCCACGCAGGUCCGUUGUGAAAACUGGAGGCUCAACCUCCAGACGUCGACGGAAACCGUGUGGCUAGAGUCCGGAAGAGGAGAGUGGAAUUCCUGGUGUAGCGGUGAAAUGCGCAGAUAUCAGGAAGAACACCAAAUGGCGAAAGGCAGCUCUCUGGGACGGUACUGACGCUGAGACGCGAAAGCGUGGGGAGCGAACAGGAUUAGAUACCCUGGUAGUCCACGCCGUAAAACGAUGGGUGCUAGGUGUGGGAGGUGUCGACUCCUUCCGUGCCGUAGCUAACG